CUUUCCGCGCCCUAUCUGUAGUUGCUAUAGUGGCUUCAGGCAUUCAUGCUGUAUCACAUGUGGUACAGAGGAGCGCUGACAAGAGAGCUGAAGCGAAGCAAGUGACGUCACCAGAAGAAGGCGAGAAAAUGCUGCCGCCGCCGCAGCAGUAUGACGUCAUAUACAGGGACACCACCGUACCACUCCAAGAGAAGACUGUUAGUUAGUAUUUAUUUAUUUAUUUGGUUCUCAGUUUUACAUUGGAUAAUAGAGUUGGGUAGUGACAAUGAAUGGACCUACCCAAUUUUAUUACUCGUUCCGGUAAAUUUAUCGUUAUUUUAUUGGUAACGUUACUAAAUAACGUUAUUAUGAUAACGGUAUUUUUACUUUAAUGAAAUGUUUCUCAGCAAAACGAUAUGUGAUUUAUACAAUAAAUACGUUUUAAUGAUAUUUCGAUAUUUGACAGUUGAUUUUGUAGAUAUUUGAACAAACUAAAGUUAAAUAUUACCUACUUACUAAUACACUAUACUGACGUCCAUAUUCACAAACAUUACUAUGAGGGUGACACACGAACCAAUCA